rnacentral:rRNA from 1 species
AUUGAACGCUGGCGGCAGGCCUAACACAUGCAAGUCGAGCGAGCGGCGGACGGGGGUGUAAUGUAUGGGGACUGCCCGAUAGAGGGGGGUAACAACUGGAAACGGUAGCUAAUACCGCAUACUAUCGGAUUACCCCUAUGGGGGUAGCUAGUUGGUGAGGUAAUGGCUCACAAAGGCGACGAUCCCUAGCUGGGCUGAGAGGAUGAUCAGCCACACUGGAACUGAGACACGGCCCAGACUCCUACGGAGGCAGCAGUGGGGAAUAUUGCACAAUGGGCGCAAGCCUGUUGCAGCCAUGCCGCGUGUAUGAAGAAGGCCUUAGGGUUGUAAAGUACUUUCAGUCGGGAGGCGUUACCGACAGAAGAAGCACCGGCUAACUCCGUGCCAGCAGCCGCGGUAAUAC